CCUCAGCCGCAGCACUGCCCUCACGACCGCCCCCCCUCCAGCGGGCUUGGUUUGCACGCGGAGGUAAAGAGAACAUUCAGGAGAGAGGAGGCCCGUGUAGGAAGCGGGGGAACCGGGAGAGAGCGGGACAGGGGUCGCGGAAGGGACGCGCCAAGCCACGGAAGGCGCCAUGCCCCGGGGGAAGGGCUUCGGGUCUCGGGUAUUUAGGGGACACAAUUGUCCUUCCUCAAAAAGGAUAAGAAACACCCAGGGUCACAAGACAACUCAGUGACAGAGACGGGACACGUUCCCGAUGCUGGAGCCUGGACUCCCCUCGAUGUUCUACACUUCUUGGUGGGAAACACUGGAGUUGCUUGUCUACCUCCUAUUCGAGAAAACUCCAAGACUCCGAUCACCUUUCCUUUCCUAUAAGGAGACCCCUAUCUCAGUGGUUUAAACCCUUCUGGCCUCCCAGGUCCCUCCCAUGCACAUGUCCACAGGCUAUCACCAGCUGUUUCCGGGGGUUGUGGACUUUCUGAAACCCAUCCGAAGGGCCCCGGUCACUACCUCCGAUGCUCUGGCCUCCUCGGCCUCAUGGAGGUGGAGCUGAGGCGAGCAGGAAGUGGGUCCUGAAACAGAAUGGCACGGUGGUCCUGAUGUGCCCCCGUUAGCCAUGCCCCGUGUUUAAGGGCCAGGGGACCAAGCUGUCAUUUCUGUACCUCGCUACCUGGGCAGAAACCUCCCUGCCUGGACACCAGGACGGAGAAGAAGGCAUCUGGGUGGAGAUGCAGGGAGUGGCCUCCUCAGCGGCCAGUGGGGUGGGCAGCGAGCAGCUCUGAGCCACCCGGGGCUCGGAAACGGACAGCCCGCCGCACCCCGGCAGCGCUAAGUCGGUCACCUGGGCUCCCCGGGAGCCCUUUGGCGGUGUGUGCUCUGCCAGCAGGUCAGCCCUGCCUGGGAAGCUUCCAGGGGCUCCUCUCUUGAGAACACCCAACACAGCCCCAGCCGGGUGGUGGUGUGGCUAGAAAGUACACGUCCUCUUGCCUGUGCCCCAAACCCCACAGGGAGUUCCUCCCAUGGAUGCCUUGUGCUCUUUUCCAGGCUCCAAAUUAACAGUCAUCUCCAACUGGAAACCAGACUUCUGCCUGGGAGCAGAAAGCACAGCUGUCCUGAUGGACCAGGGCUCGGAAGCAGUGACCCUCGAGAGACAGCGGGCUUUAGCUGACAGGAACCUGCCAUGUCGUAGAAUGCUCUGGAGGCCUGAAGAGGUUGACACAGAUACCCCUGGGGAAUUAGCAGGACCUUGAAUAAGCUUGUCUGCCAAACAUGCCUUGUUUUCUAGGCCUCCAGGAGUACCUGGCUUUUUCUGCCUUCUCGUUUGAUGCUAAAGAAACCAGCCAUUAUUUCACGCUGGAAGGACACAUUCCACUUGCCGUCUCCUCCUCUCCUGCCCCCUUUUUGCUGAGAAUAUGAAGACUCUGCAAACAGUCAUCACAGUAAAAGCAGUCCUUAAUCUCCCUAACAAUAACAAGAAUAAGGAACAUCAAAGUAAGCAGCUAUCUUAGUCAUGAGGGUAUUAAACUGUACUCGGCCUGGAUGUGCUGAGAAACCAGGACUCUCGUGUUUUGAUGACGAUACCAAAGCCUGAUUUCUAGGCAGCUGCUAGAUCACCAGAUUCCGAGCACCCGUGUGGAAUAUUAUCAUUUCCCAGACCAGCAGGGCCCAUGUCUCUGCUCUAGUAAGAGUCUUAGGUUACUUUAAAAAAAUUCAUUAUUAGGAUACCCAUGACAGGUGAGAACUGGUGUGGGUCACUGUCUGGACCUGAGGGCUCUGCGCGCUGGCCAGCAGGGCCCUGCUCCCUGGGCACCUCUGCUUCUCCCUGGACACCAUCUGGUGGGUGCUUCUCUGUCCCCCGCCAGCUUCGUCUACCUGCUCACAGACCUGCUCCCUCCAGACCUCCACACCUCAAGUCUCUGAUUCCCCUUCAUCACCGACUGCCUCUUAGCUCUGAUAUCCAAGAGCAAAGCGGAAUGGCCAUCCCAUCUGCUAAGGCAGUCCUUGGGUAGGGCCCCUUCGGUUCUGAUCUGCUGUGGAGAAUGUCUUAGAGAGUCCAACACUGGAUAAAAGCAGGCACAGCUUGCUUCUCCUAGGAAAGGUGAGCAUCUAAAAGACCGCAUAACACGUCCCCCAGGGCAGAAUUUCCAAUGCACGCUUUCCUCAUCCAAAGCCAUGGCUAGUUAUGGCCCCAGGAGCAGUAGGGCAGGGCCAGCUCUGAAACUACUUGCUCAUCACGGAGUCACUUCUGCCCCUGGUUAUGGCGAUGCUCCUUCUAGAUAUUUUUCUCCAUUCUUCAGUCCACUUACUAGCUGGUUACUGUAGGCACAGCUGCUAUUCCAAAGGACACCGGCAAGAAAGGACUCAUUGCCCGGGCAGAGAGCCUCCUUCUGCGCUUACCUCCUGGACCCACACGUUCCAGCGAUGGCCGGGGCAGCCGCAUCACAGCGACCUGUCCCCAGUCUGGCACUGAGUCUGCAGACACCAUCCUCGCCUCCUGGUGUUGGACCUCCGCCCUUAGAUUAACCACCUCACUCCGCACUGCAGUGACUUCUAGCUGCUUCCACGUGGCUUCUGGAGCUUCUGCGUGCUGGACGCUUAUGCAGCGUUUCAGCCGGUCCUACAUCCCAGGAGGAACUACCCAGCUUCCCGGCUCUGUUCUCAGUGCUCAGGAUUAACUGAGGGAUCAAGAAUCCUUGCAGCGCUUGUUUGAGUGAGAUGUGCCCCCUUUUUAUUAGGCUGGGGGUUUUUAUGAUGCUGUGGGCCCCACAGAACCUCCAUUUCCCGCUCUGGGGCCUUCGGGCCGAUAGAGGAGGGAUUUGGGAUUUCCAUGGGUUCGGGUCACCACAUCCUUUGGAAUGUGUGUUUUCCACAGCAGCUCUCAGCAGCUACAGUUGGGCCCAAAAGACCACAGUCUCAAAGCCUCGGUGCCUACUGAUCCCCCUGGGGCAGGCCUCCCCGUGCUGGUGGCCGGCAGGGGGCGGGGGAGCAGGAGAGCCUCACAUUUGAGCGCUUUUCCUCCUGGAUCUGAUUUUGACCUUGUUGCCUGACUGGAGGCUGGAUGGCUUCGACACAGAAGUGGUGGGUGGGGCGGGCACCGUGAGCACACGCUGCGGACUAUCAUUAUGUCGUAUGAAAUCCAGCGACGUUUAAAAAUAAACUCAGGCCGCCAGCGGGUUCGCAUCUCCAUACCCAGUGCCACCCCCGUGGAGGGCCCCAACCGGGAUCUCCUGGGAGCCUCCAAAUUAUCCCCGGGUCUGGUCUUCAGAUUCCUCACCUUACCACUGGGGAAACCGAGGCAGAGAACAUUUAUGUGGUUUGCUUAGGGUAACAGGGCAAGAACAAAGCAGGAGGGCCUUCAGUUUGAUGUGAGAAAGUGUCAUUCUCGGGAGGAGGUGUGUCCGUGAGGGGUGUUUCUCAGGAAACGGAGGACGAGCUCCCGUCAAGGCUUAAGAAGGUCACCCUACUUCAUGCCUCCGGGCAUCCAGGCUGCCCGUCUUGGCUUAUCUUACCUAGGAAUUCACUUUGCCUGCAGUGUGCGCCUCCCACACUGUCCUGCGGGGACCCAGGGAAUGAUUAACUCCCAGGCCUGGCCGUCCCUCUGUCCUGAACACUUUGCAUGCUGUCCGUCUUUCUCCUCUGGAGAUCAAACUCUCUAUCCCUUUCUUGGCUUUCCUUUGAUGCAGGCUUUUCUGGCUGGAAGGAUGUGCUUGUCAGUCACUGUUCUAAGGACCCACGAAGGUCAUUUCGGUCCAGGCUUCUGGAAAAACGGCAACUUUGGAGGAAGGCAACCCAGCCACCGCCCCUUCCUCCACUUUGUUUCCGUGUUUACAUCAUCUCUUUGCAGCAGUUCUGUCCUCUGUAUGAAAAGACGAGCCCUUAUUUUGACAGCUGGGCAGUGUCUUUGAUAUGGGAGAUGUCACUUGGAGAAAAGGGGGGGAUGACAGCAGAUGGGCAGCAGCUGGUCCACACGGCGGUGGCCCCCGAGCCCAGCUGCGGGCGGCUCUGGCGGGACCAGGGAGGGGGGUGCGCUGGUGUCUGUUUGGGGUUUUGCCAGGUUCCCAGGGCUGCAGCCACCAGGCUCUGAUUUGCUAGAACCAGGAGCUCCCCACGGCGGGAAGAGGGAAAGAGAAGGAGCUGAGUGAGAGGGGAGGGCAAGUCAGGAGAGGAGACGGAGCCGACCCGAAGCAAAGGUCCUGAGAUUCCCCUGGUAUAACUCUCCAGGAGCCGGACUGGCUGGGUUGACCAAGAGUCUUUGAUAUGCAAGGAGACCCUGGCCGUCCUCAACCUCUGACAGCUCAGAAUCAAGCUUGUGCGGCACAGGUUGGGUGUUUAAAUUCCCCAUCACAAGACUUGAGCCACAAAUCUUAGGCAGAAGAACAAGUGUACUUUGGAAGGACAGGAGCCAGACCUGAUGCCAGCAGGAGGGAGCAGGCUGGAGGCUCAGCCCGUCUUAACUCUGAGACAUGUCUCCAGGGGCCAAAGACAAAGCAAGAUGGGAACUCCGCCAGCGUUGGAGAACAGAGGUGGGAAUAUGGACUCGGAGGUCCAGAGUGUCCACGAGGGGGCUGUCCACGGAGAACUCCAGUGGCCAUCAGGACCAGGGAAGGGGUAUGGCAUGAACAAGAAAGGGCUGGGCCUAGGAACGGCAGGGAGGGCUCUGAACGGAGAGAACGGGCUUCUAGACCCGAUUACAUAUCGGAGCAAGUAACAACAACUACGGUAAAACCGUGGUUCUGGACCCUGGGUGAAGGCAAGAGAGUCUGUGAUCUAGAAAGUUCUCCUGGAGCCCCUGGCUCUGAGCGUUGUCCGCUCAUCAGCAUAUACACUGAGCUCCUCUCACGGCGGGGCAGGGACCGGAGCCUGCGGGACCCAACAGUGUAAGGUCGGUGUGGCCCCUGCUUCUGCGGCAGAACACGUUAGGGGGUGGGGGAGGGGGUCUGCAGGAAGAGCUGGGAUCCACUGGGAUCCGCCAUCAGCAGGAA